rnacentral:rRNA from 1 species
GUAGGUGGCAAGCGUUGUCCGGAAUUAUUGGGCGUAAAGCGCGCGCAGGCGGUUCUUUAAGUCUGAUGUGAAAGCCCACGGCUCAACCGUGGAGGGUCAUUGGAAACUGGAGAACUUGAGUACAGAAGAGGAAAGCGGAAUUCCACGUGUAGCGGUGAAAUGCGUAGAGAUGUGGAGGAACACCAGUGGCGAAGGCGGCUUUCUGGUCUGUAACUGACGCUGAGGCGCGAAAGCGUGGGGAGCAAACAGGGAUUAGAUACCCUAGUAGUCCACGCCGUAAACGAUGAGUGCUAAGUGUUAGGGGGUUUCCGCCCCCUUAGUGCUGCAGCUAACGCAUUAAGCACUCCGCCUGGGGAUACGGCCGCAAGGCUG